GCUGAGGUCCAUCCCAAUGGGGCUUCUGUGGACCUACAUCGUUGGGAAUGCCUCAUACAGAAUACAUGUGGUCUCCUUUAUUCCCAGAACUAUGUGUUGGAUCUAUGGGAAAGAACUACAGGACAUGG
ensembl:snoRNA